rnacentral:lncRNA from 1 species
GACGAGGAGAAGGAAGCUAGGCCAGAAACACACGCGAUGCAGACUUUUGCCUUGGCGUUGGAUUUUAUUCCGAGAACAGACUAAAGAGAAUAAUGUGUCCGAAGCGCUGCUCAGCCACAGCCUCCUGAGUGGCAUGGGAACAGAGCAGAGGCAUUACGGAAACCCAGUUCUUGGGCAGAGGAUCAGGAACCCAAGGGCCUCGUUGGACAUCUCCUGGCUUCUGAGCGCCCAGGGCGGCCGUCCCAGGCAGGCUGCGGUCUUCUUGGCGGACAGGCGGCCUAUGCUGCACAAGGAAGCCUCCAGGCUGAGCCCGGUGGCCGCCAAGGCUCAGUAGCAGGGCGACGACACUCCGAGAGGUCCCCAUCGUCAGACCUCUCUGGUUCCCGCGACCAGUCUUCGAAGAGGGCCGAUCGCGGCGCGUGUGGCGGCCGCGGAGCGCAGUGACCGGGCUCCUCCGACGAGGCUGCGGCCGCCACUCCUGCCUGCGCCUGGGCCUCCUCCUGGGUGGCAGGCGUGGACUCUUCGUCCGAAGGUUGUGCACGCCGCACCAGGGGAAUCCAAAGAACGCGCUCCUGUCCCGUGGGGAAGCCCCAGUACCGCUGAUUCUGGUUCUCAGAGUGGUGGCCCAGCGGUGUUGGAAGGUAACGCGCCGUCCCGCGAAUUCGAUCUUCUGGGUCUCCGGAUGGUUCCCACUGGGGCUCUCGGGCUGUCUCUCUGGAACCAAAAGCCCCCCUCACAUGGCUUCGCCAGUGCAUCGCUUCUUCCAGGGGAAGUUUACAGAGACAAGGGGAUUCAGAAGAUCAAGCUUGUGGAGCCCGCCUCCUUCUAUGCUCCUCCUGCUUACGAGGCGGUCCAGCCCGGAGAGAUCAAGGAGAACUGGGCGGUGAGCUAACUGAGAGCUAACUACAUCAGAAGAGGAACCGCCCCAGUCGCCUUCAGUGUCCACAUAGGCCCCUCCUGGAGCAAGUUGUGGGAAGUGAGUCUAGUGAAGACAGAUGGGAUUAGCAGUGAAAAAUCCAAGAGACCUCCGGACGCCUAAGGAGGGAAGCUCUUUUGGGAGACGGGGAAGUGUAGAUAUCCGAUUUCUGACCCCAAACGUUCUGGUAGUACUACAGGAGAGACCGAGAACCAGGGCUGUGGGAAAGAGGUAUGUCUGUAUCUUUGAGCUAGAGUGUGUGCGUUUGGUGGGAUGGAUACUGGGCUGAAGGCAGGGUGUGGGUGUGGUGUUUGCGAUGAAGGGGAAUGGGAGGGAAGCUCAAAGGAUUAUUUGGGAGGGAGCUUGGAGGUGGUUAGGGAAAAUGGCCCAGUUCUAAAGAUUAAU